rnacentral:rRNA from 1 species
GCAGUCGAACGGCAGCACAGGAGAGCUUGCUCUCUGGGUGGCGAGUGGCGGACGGGUGAGGAAUACAUCGGAAUCUACUCUGUCGUGGGGGAUAACGUAGGGAAACUUACGCUAAUACCGCAUACGACCUACGGGUGAAAGUGGGGGACCGCAAGGCCUCACGCGAUUGAAUGAGCCGAUGUCGGAUUAGCUAGUUGGCGGGGUAAAGGCCCACCAAGGCGACGAUCCGUAGCUGGUCUGAGAGGAUGAUCAGCCACACUGGAACUGAGACACGGUCCAGACUCCUACGGGAGGCAGCAGUGGGGAAUAUUGGACAAUGGGCGCAAGCCUGAUCCAGCCAUACCGCGUGAGUGAAGAAGGCCCUCGGGUUGUAAAGCUCUUUUGUUGGGAAAGAAAUCCUGUCGGUUAAUACCUGGCAGGGAUGACGGUACCCAAAGAAUAAGCACCGGCUAACUUCGUGCCAGCAGCCGCGGUAAUACGAAGGGUGCAAGCGUUACUCGGAAUUACUGGGCGUAAAGCGUGCGUAGGUGGUUGUUUAAGUCUGUCGUGAAAGCCCUGGGCUCAACCUGGGAAUUGCGAUGGAUACUGGGCAACUAGAGUGUGGUAGAGGGUGGCGGAAUUCCCGGUGUAGCAGUGAAAUGCGU